CAAGUCCAGAUUUACAUGACGCUGAUAAUGACGCCAUUGUGUCUGCCUGUAAACUACGAGACAGCACGCAGGAGCUUCAGCUAGAAACAAUCAUGUGGCAUCGCGGGCAGAAGCUGUGAAGAGUUCAGCUCGGAGUCGGUCGAGAAGAAAAGAGGCUGCUGGAAGCGAGACAGAGUGCUGGCUGCGGGUGAGGUGG